rnacentral:rRNA from 1 species
AUUGAACGCUGGCGGCAUGCUUUACACAUGCAAGUCGAACGGCAGCACGGGCUUCGGCCUGGUGGCGAGUGGCGAACGGGUGAGUAAUGCAUCGGAACGUGCCCAUUUGUGGGGGAUAACUACGCGAAAGCGUGGCUAAUACCGCAUACGCCCUGAGGGGGAAACGGGGGAUUCUUCGGAACCUCGCGCAAUUGGAGCGGCCGAUGUCAGAUUAGCUUGUUGGUGAGGUAAAGGCUCACCAAGGCGACGAUCUGUAGCGGGUCUGAGAGGAUGAUCCGCCACACUGGGACUGAGACACGGCCCAGACUCCUACGGGAGGCAGCAGUGGGGAAUUUUGGACAAUGGGGGCAACCCUGAUCCAGCCAUGCCGCGUGAGUGAAGAAGGCCUUCGGGUUGUAAAGCUCUUUCAGCCGGGAAGAAAGCGCACUCUCUAACAUAGGGUGUGGAUGACGGUACCGGAAGAAGAAGCACCGGCUAACUACGUG